UACGUAGGGUGCGAGCGUUAAUCGGAAUUACUGGGCGUAAAGCGUGCGCAGGCGGUUCGUUAAGUUCGUUGUGAAAGCCCCGGGCUCAACCUGGGGACGGCAAUGGAAACUGGCGGGCUAGAGUGUGGCAGAGGGGGGUGGAAUUCCACGUGUAGCAGUGAAAUGCGUAGAGAUGUGGAGGAACACCGAUGGCGAAGGCAACCCCCUGGGCUAACACUGACGCUCAGGCACGAAAGCGUGGGGAGCAAACAGG
rnacentral:rRNA from 1 species